rnacentral:rRNA from 1 species
GACGAACGCUGGCGGCGUGCUUAACACAUGCAAGUCGAACGGAAAGGCCCUGCUUUUGUGGGGUGCUCGAGUGGCGAACGGGUGAGUAACACGUGAGUAACCUGCCCCUGACUUUGGGAUAACUUCAGGAAACUGGGGCUCAUACCGGAUAGGAUCUCCUGCUGCAUGGUGGGGGUUGGAAAGUUUCGGCGGUUGGGGAUGGACUGGCGGCUUAUCAGCUUGUUGGUGGGGUAGUGGCUUACCAAGGCUUUGACGGGUAGCAGGCCUGAGAGGGGGGACGGCCACAUUAGGCCUGAGAUACGGCGCAGUCGCCAACCUGAGGCAGCGGGGGAGAGUAUUACACAGUGGGCGGAAGCCUGAUGUAGCAACGCCGCGUGCGGGAUGACGGGCUUCGGGUUGUAAACCACUUUCGCCUUAGACGAGGCGUUAGUGACGGUAACGGGUAAAGAAGCACCGGCUAACUACGUG